AAAAUUCUCGUUAUCAUUCCACCUAUAAUGAUAUAAUUGACAAGCGUUGGAAAUUCAUGCAUUCUGAUCUUCAUUCUGCUGGUUAUUUUCUUAAUCCACAAUUUCAAUAUGGAGUUGAACAUGGAGAUGAUGUCUAUAAGGAAACAUUUGAAGGGACGGCUAGAGUGAUAACGAAAUUAGUAAGAAGUAUAGAUGAUCAAAUCAAAGCUCUGAAUCAGUUGACUCUUUACAGAGAAAAGAGUGAUUCAUUUG